ACUAAAACACCGAUUCCCAUACAAUCAUCGAAAUUAAGCAACGUAGAGCCUGGUUAAUACUUAGAUGGGUGACCUUUUGAGAAUACCAGGUGCUGUAUG